rnacentral:rRNA from 1 species
GACGAACGCUGGCGGCGUGCUUAACACAUGCAAGUCGAGCGGUAAGGCCUUUCGGGGUACACGAGCGGCGAACGGGUGAGUAACACGUGGGUGACCUGCCUUUAGCUUCGGGAUAAGCCUGGGAAACCGGGUCUAAUACCGGAUAUGACCUCAUGUCGCAUGGUGUGGGGUGGAAAGUUCUUCGGCUAGAGAUGGGCCCGCGCCUAUCAGCUUGUUGGUGGGGUGAUGGCCUACCAAGGCGACGACGGGUAGCCGGCCUGAGAGGCGACCGGCCACACUGGGACUGAGGAUACGGCCCAGACUCCUACGGGAGGCAGCAGUGGGGAAUAUUGCGCAAUGGGCGGAAGCCUGACGCAGCGACGCCGCGUGGGGAUGACGGCCU